rnacentral:rRNA from 1 species
UGGUCAAGUUAUUAAGGGUGCAGGGCGGAUGCCUUGGCACUAGGAGCCGAUGAAGGACGUGAUAAGCUGCGAUAAGCUUCGGGGAGUUGCACGUAAACUUUGAUCCGAAGAUUUCCGAAUGAGGAAACUCACUUAGAGUAAUGUCUAAGUAUCAUUAAGUGAAUACAUAGCUUAAUGAGGGGAACUCAGGGAACUGAAACAUCUAAGUACCUGAAGGAAGAGAAAGAAAUUCGAUUCCGUAAGUAGCGGCGAGCGAACGCGGAUUAGCCCAAACCAAUAAA